rnacentral:rRNA from 1 species
AUUGAACGCUGGCGGCAGGCUUAACACAUGCAAGUCGAGCGAGCGGCGGACGGGUGAGUAAUGUCUGGGAAACUGCCUGAGGGAGGGGGAUAACUACUGGAAACGGUAGCUAAUACCGCAUACCAUCAGAUGACCCCAGAUGGGAUUAGCUUGGAGGUGGGGUAAUGGCGCACCUAGGCGACGAUCCCUAGCUGGUCUGAGAGGAUGAACAGGCAGACUGGAACGGAGACACGGUGCAGAGUGACAAGGGAGGGAGCAGUGGGGAAGAUUGCACAAUGGGCGAAAGCCUGAUGCAGCCAUGCCGCGGGUGGGAAGAAGGCCUUCGGGUUGUAAAGCACUUUCAGCGAGGAGGCGUUGCUCGCAGAAGGAGCACCGGCUAACUCCGUGCCAGCAGCCGCGGUAAUUC